UUGAACGCUGGCGGCAGGCCUAACACAUGCAAGUCGAGCGGAUGAAGGGAGCUUGCUCCUGGAUUCAGCGGCGGACGGGUGAGUAAUGCCUAGGAAUCUGCCUGGUAGUGGGGGAUAACGUCCGGAAACGGGCGCUAAUACCGCAUACGUCCUGAGGGAGAAAGUGGGGGAUCUUCGGACCUCACGCUAUCAGAUGAGCCUAGGUCGGAUUAGCUAGUUGGUGGGGUAAAGGCCUACCAAGGCAACGAUCCGUAACUGGUCUGAGAGGAUGAUCAGUCACACUGGAACUGAGACACGGUCCAGACUCCUACGGGAGGCAGCAGUGGGGAAUAUUGGACAAUGGGCGAAAGCCUGAUCCAGCCAUGCCGCGUGUGUGAAGAAGGUCUUCGGAUUGUAAAGCACUUUAAGUUGGGAGGAAGGGCAGUAAGUUAAUACCUUGCUGUUUUGACGUUACCAACAGAAUAAGCACCGGCUAACUUCGUG
rnacentral:rRNA from 1 species